rnacentral:tRNA from 1 species
GGGCCUGUAGCUCAGUCGGUCAGAGCACUGCGCUUACACCGCAGGUGUCGUCGGUUCGAGUCCGGCCGGGCCCACCA